rfam:Triticum aestivum genome assembly, contig: Triticum_aestivum_CS42_TGACv1_scaffold_622910_7DS
AUAUUACUCCCUCCAUCCCAAAAUUCUUAUCUUAGAUUUGUCUAAAUACAAAUGUAUCAAAUCACGUUUUAGUAUUAGAUACACCCGUAUCUGGCAAAUCUAAGACAAGAAUUUUAGGACGGAGGGAGUAGUUA